GAUGAACGCUGGCGGCGUGCCUAAUACAUGCCAGUCGAGCGAACAGAUGAGGAGCUUGCUCCUCUGACGUUAGCGGCGGACGGGUGAGUAACACGUGGAUAACCUACCUAUAAGACUGGGAUAACUUCGGGAAACCGGAGCUAGUACCGGAUAAUAUAAUGAACCGCAUGGUUCAAUAGUGAAAGACGGUUUUGCUGUCACUUAUAGAUGGAUCCGCGCCGCAUUAGCUAGUUGGUAAGGUAACGGCUUACCAAGGCAACGAUGCGUAGCCGACCUGAGAGGGUGAUCGGCCACACUGGAACUGAGACACGGUCCAGACUCCUACGGGAGGCAGCAGUAGGGAAUCUUCCGCAAUGGGCGAAAGCCUGACGGAGCAACGCCGCGUGAGUGAUGAAGGUCUUCGGAUCGUAAAACUCUGUUAUUAGGGAAGAACAAAUGUGUAAGUAACUAUGCACGUCUUGACGGUACCUAAUCAGAAAGCCACGGCUAACUAC
rnacentral:rRNA from 1 species